CUUCAGGAGUGAAGCUGCAGACCUUCGCGUGAUGGAGGUUGAGAAGUCCAACUUCAAGGCACCACAUCUGGUGAGAGCCUUCAUUCCGAUGACAGCCUUCAUGCUGGUAAGAUUUUCUUCAGAGUUCCAAGGUGGUGCACGGCAUCACAUGGCGAAGGAAAUGAGCGUGCUAGCUCAGGUGUCUCUUCCUCUUCUUAUAAAGCCACCAGUCCCACUCCUGUGCUAGUAACUCUUUAAUCCAUCAACCCAUUAAUCCAUGAAUAGAUUAACCCAUGAGGCCUCUGCCCUCAGGACCCAAUCACCUCUUAAAGGCCUGACCUGUCAAUAUUGCCAUACUGGGGACUCAGUUUCAACAUGAGUUUUGAAAGGGACAAACAUUCAAUCCAUAGUAACAUGAGAGCUUUUCAAAGCCCUUCUUUGUUGAAGUAUGUCCUUCUCCAGCCUCUUUUUUCCCAGGCUUUUUGUUUUUUCUAUUGCUUGUGCAGCUGUUAUCCUUUGCUACAGGUGGCAAUAGCUAAUACAUUUGCCUUUAAAUUUGUUUGACAAACACCACCCUGGAAGUAGCCUCAACUCUGGGGAAGCUCCAAGACAGGUAAAAUACAGCAACCUGCAGCAGGAAAAUGGGCUUCAGUUUUCAAGUCUGCAGCUGAGUUGGGAAGUUGCGGACAGUAACCAGUAAUACACAAUAUUGGCAACAAUGCAACAAAAUGGACACACUCUACUCUCCAGCGGGAGUAGCACAGAAAUACUUUUAAGAAUUUCUGACUACAAAAAAUUGGUUUUUUAAUUCCCUGUGCCAAGUUCAGAAAUAUGCCAUAAUGGAACAAGAUAACUAAAAGAAGAAAACUACCUCAAGGUUAAAAAAACGAAAAGAAGAGAAAGAAAAAAGGAAAGAAGCAGAAGGAAGAACUCUGCUGCAGUACUGGAAGCAGGCAGAUUAUUUAAAUUACGGUGGUGCCAUGGAACAAGAGAAGGCAGAUGAAGAGCGACACCCUUCAAGUUAACACAGGAACAAUUAACAAUAGAAUCCUUAAGAUGCAAAACUCCUUGCUGUUUACCAGCAACAGAAGAGAGGAAGAAGUGGCUCUGGGGGAAUUGCGUGCCAGUCUGCGGCAGGUUGGCUGGAGAAGCAGCCCUGGUUGGAGCUUUGGAGAGACACAUGUGCAUUUACUUGUUACCUGGAAGACCUUUUAAAAAAAAUUCUCGUAAAUCUGUCAUUUGUGUAUCCUCAAGGUUUGUGGCAGAAAGCAGAUAUAUCUGCUCCUGUGUGUAAUUGUUGUUAAAAAACACAAAAAGGAAAUAAAAGUGCACAACAUACCUAGCAGACUUGACCAGAGGGAAUUGGGAAAGGCCAAAGUAAAUUAUUCUAAAAAAUAAGCAAGCAAACCAGAAAAGGUUAAGAUGGAGAGGAGCUUAGAGGAGCAAGUGCUCUUCCCAUGCUGGGAAAAAGGCAGCGACAGAACCGCCUAGUGGGCAGGUGAGGGCACUGAUCACGUGAUAGACUGGGGCCCACUGCAUCUCUUUUCUCUUUGGGUCUUGAGGAUGGAGAGGCAGGAACAUGAAAACAGUGAGAAAUUUUGAGGUUCACUUCCCUUCUUCCACCUCUCACUUCCCCCAUAACCUCUUCCUUUUGAUAGUGCUGGAAGAACAACCCAAGGCCAGCCCUCUUGAAGCAGGCAAAUAGAUGCUUGUCCUUUACUUCAUGUAUAAAGAGAUUGUUUUCUUUCUUUACUAAGACAGUCAGAGCCAAUGAAAGUGGAAGAUAAGUACCUCGAGAGAGCCCUAAGGAGGGAGCAUGGGGGUUCAAGUGUAUGGUCUACUUAGGCAGAGAGGAAUCAGAGUUAAACUAGGCUCAAAAUACAUUUUUAUUUUGAGACAGCCUUGCUCUGUUGCUCAGGCUGGAGUGCAAUGGUGUG
rnacentral:lncRNA from 1 species